rnacentral:rRNA from 1 species
AACGAACGCUGGCGGCAGGCUUAACACAUGCAAGUCGAACGCCCCGCAAGGGGAGUGGCAGACGGGUGAGUAACGCGUGGGAAUCUACCCAGAUCUUCGGAACAACCCAGGGAAACUUGGGCUAAUACCGGAUACGCCCUACGGGGGAAAGAUUCAUCGGUUCUGGAUGAGCCCGCGUUGGAUUAGCCAGUUGGUGGGGUAAUGGCCUACCAAGGCGACGAUCCAUAGCUGGUCUGAGAGGAUGAUCAGCCACACUGGGACUGAGACACGGCCCAGACUCCUACGGGAGGCAGCGGUGGGGAAUAUUGGACAAUGGGCGAAAGCCUGGUCCAGCCAUGCCGCGUGAGUGAUGAAGGCCUUAGGGUUGUAAAGCUCUUUCAGUAGGGAAGAUAAUGACGGUACCUACAGAAGAAGCCCCGGCUAACUUCGUGCCAGCAGCCGCCGUAAUAC